GACGUAAGAAAGCAGCAGAAUAGCCACUUUCCGCCACAACAAGCCGUUACAGUGUGAGGUGCAAUGGGCUCCGAUUGCGCUGACUGAACUCUGAAGGUUGAGAGAGUUCAGUGGGGGCAAGGAUCAAAUAUGAAGUGAAAAAAUAAUAAUAGGGCAAGCAUAAAGCAUUUAGAAAGAUGAGGAUGGCAAUUGCUCCCAACAAAACAAUGUAAAUCCACCACUUGAGAAAAAAGCACGGAAUAGAUAUCUUGGAUUCACUGAGGUAACUCUUUUGCUUCCAAGUUAUUUAGAUCCACACAAGGAAAAUAUGUUUUAGCCAUAGAGACUAGUUUUAUUAAUUUAUGAACAUCUACUGCUGGUUUUAUACAGUUCUCUCUUUCUCUUAAGCCUUAUGAAAUGUUAGAUUAAUUGCAAUAGUUGAGAAUCCCCACAAAGUGGAACUCUCAGCCUUGAUAAGGAUUUGGUUUUUAUGUGUGCUUACUGAUGGUCGCCGUCCUAUUAAAUUUUUCACAUUUCACAUAGUAUGUCAUUUUUAGGAGACUGACAAAUUGCAAGCGGGAGAAUGAAUCAACUAACUUCCUGAUUAGUAUUUUCCGCAUAUGGGAAUGAAUAUGCAGUGUCAACUAUCCUUUUCCUUUAUGACUUGACUUCUACUAUUUGUAAAGACAAAUGUAUGUUAUGGUGAUUGAUAAAGUUGUGUUGUUUCUCAAAUCUCAUUUGUGCAUACUAUGUAUGCAAAGAUAUAUUUACAUAUUCACAUGGGGUAUGUACUUAAUGAAACAAAAAUUCAUCAAUACUAACAUAGCCAGAUCCAAGAUUUAAAAUUUAUGGGUUCUUACCAUUUUAAAAAUAAUACGAAAGAGAAGAGAAAAUAAAGGUCGACAUUUUUUUGUUGAAAAUAGAAUGCACUUAUAGUGCUCCAGGGGAAUUGAACUGUCAUCAAAGAGCUUCGAGCUUUGCUGCUACUUUUAGUAAUGGGUUCCCAAGUAACAGUUUCUUAUAUAUUUAACGGAUUCUCAAUAAAAUACAGGGUUUGGACAAAAGUUGCUGGGUUUCUGGCAAUCCACAUAGUAUACACUGCUUCCGCCCCUGAAUACUGAUUGUAGUGGAGCCCCUUAUUUGAAUAAGAAAUGACUGCUACAACCCUUGUGAAUAUGUGUUAACUGCUAACUAAAAUCAAUGUUCAUCAAUGAGUGCAUGCUCAAAGAAUACAAUGUAUGAUGGAUGUGCAGUUAUACAAGAGUAGACAAGAUUAGAAGUGAUCACGUUGGCAUGAAGGUUCAAGUAAGGCAUCAAUGAUAAAUUAGAGAAGAUCGCUUGAAUUGAUUUGGUCGUGACCCACGUCAACCACAAAAUGUGUAAGUCCAUAGAUGUGAAACCAUGGUGAAUAAAGGUAAUAAAAGAGGAUGAAGUUUUCUCUAAGUAAAUACAAUCUCUUGGGAUCCAUGCAGAUCUAGUGAAACAUAAGGUGCAAUGGAAGAAAAAGAUCUGUAUAGGUGAUACCUUAGUUGAGAAUAUGUUUUAAUGAUGUUGGCAAUUUUACUUUACGUCCUCUGCUUUUCUAAUAGGUAGUAUUAUUAUUACUUUGAAUAAUAUUGGUUUGCGAUGAGUUUAUAUAGAGUAACAUGGUCAGUAAGGAUUCAUAUAGCAAACCCAACUUGUUUGAGUCUGAGGUACGACUGUUAUUGUAUUUAUUGGUCUAUUUGCUAAUUUGAUAAUGGUGAUUGAAACAACAUAAUCAUCCUAAAGUUCUAUCUGCAUCACCAUGUUAUGUGUGAAAUCUCUUGAACAACAAAAAAAACCAAGAAUAUAUACGUUAAUUUCAACAGAGUGGCAUCAAGAUCUAUGUUGUCGUGGUGCAUUUGAGGCGGAAGUUACAGAUAGCCUUUCCUUGGGUUACAUUGUAUCGUAUCAUCUCAUAUGUGGGAAACACUACUUGUCUCAGCGGAGAGGAGAUGACCUGGAAUUCCUAGGGUAAAUAUUUUGUUCGAUUGACUUCCAUAAUCGAGUUAGAUAACUACUUUUUCUUUUCGACUUGAAGGAGUUAUGUAAGUCUUUGAAUAUGCAGAGUUUGUCAAGAUAAUAUUUGAAUGCUUCAUGACAUUUGCUCCUUGUAAAUAACCUGAUCAUCUAGGGACAAUUUGGAGUCUCCUGCAUCAGCUUAUCGUCAUUCCAUCUGAUGCUUAGUUCAAACUUUCCUGUAGAUAGUUAUCAGGCAAUCAUGUUUUUAUCAACUAAACCGAAAAACAAAUAAUUGAUUUGCAUAAUGUUGCUUGGUCAUGGUUAACUGAUCAAUACAUGAUAUAUUUUUUUAGCUUUCUUUCUUGUUUUAAUUCUUUUGCCCCAUGUGGAUGAUGUAGACUUGCUAUUAUGUUUGCUUGUGUAGUACUUAAAUCAUUUUUCUCCUUUGGUUGGUUUGAGUGGAAUAAGCUUAGGAAGGAUAUGACAUAUUUGUUCCUCUUCUAUGUAAUGACUCUAUACUCUAGUUUCUAGUGAUAUGCACUAAUUAAAGUUUGACUUGAUGAUUAGACAUUUUUUUGUUGAGAAUAUGGAACAUAUAGAAAAGCUUGAAAGCAAAGCUUACAUGUAUUUGAUCAAUAUUCUAGCUAUGCUUAACAUCAUUUCAACUAGGUAGAACCUAGCCUAAGUAUUUUAGAUUGUUUAUUUUUUGGAUUCUUUUGUUGAUUAAUAGUAUUGUAUCUUACAUUUACUUUGAAACUUAAAAGAGUUUAAGGCUGAUUUGGGACCACCAUGAAAAUACUUUAAGAAUAUCUUUUCAAAGCUUUUUUGACCACUUAAACCUCAAAACUCUGAUUCUUUUUUCCUUUCACUGAAAGGCCAUCCUGAUGGAGAGUGACCAUACCACUUUUUCUCCAGAGGAUAGGUUUCCCAAGGAGCUCCAAUUAAAUUCGGAUCACGCACUGCAUGUUCCAUUUGGUGGUGAUUUUUCUCUGUACUCAGGAAUCGAAUAUGAGAUCUCUGGUUAAUGGUGGAAUAGUCCCACCACUGCACCACAAUAGGGUCAGAGGUAGAUUUUUCAUUUAUCGUUGAAAACAAUAAUUUGAUCUUACAAGAGUAUUUUUGUGGAUUAGAAUUUGAAUUGAAAGGCACUACAUAAAUCCAUCAGAAAAUGACAAGUACUAAAGGGGAAGAUUGAGGGGGGAGGGAUGAGUUUUCUUUUUCUUUCUUUUUGAGUUCUAAAGUUGAAAUGAUUAGAAGAUUCCUACCUUUUUCUUAGUCCAAAUCAAUGCAUCAUUUUUUUGCUCAAAGCUUUAUAUCAUCAAUGAGUUUUUAGAGGCUGUGUUUUGUGUUUAUCAUUUCAGUAGUGGGUGAAGCUGUUGGAUUAAACUUUUUCUUUAUAGAAAAGAGAAUUGGAGUGAUUUUCUAAGAAUUGACCAAGGUUAUCUCAACAUCACUAAAUCUUGAACCAUUCAUAGAGUAGUGAACAAAUUGAAUGAUAGAUAUUGACAACCUCGAAAAAGAUUGAGAACAAACAUUAAAGUAUCAACUUUUAUUUACACUUGUCGCCAACUAAGGGGAAAAUUAAGAGUCUCGUAUACGAGGCAAUCCAAAGGUAAUCCAGAAUCUAGACUCAACGACGUAAACUUAUUCUAUAUAUAUAUAUUGAUCGCCCGGUUCACCUUUUCGAUUUUGAGUAUUUAUCUCUUUUUCACUUCAUUUUCAUUAUUUUUGGCCUUCCACAAACUUAAAACGUGACAAAUUCCAUCUGAUUUAGCUUAAGUAUAUACUAAAAACUACAAAAGCAUAAGUAAAUGACGCUGGAUAAGUGAUAAAAUCACCACUUUAUCACCUUGCCCCACCCAAAAAAAUAAUCAAAUUGUAACCCAUUGAUUAGGUGAAUUGAUGUUCUAUCUCACAGAUGUCAUUAAGAAGGAGCAUAAAAAUUGGCCCUUUUAAUUUUUUGAAGGUAUACUUAGUACAUGGGAAGAUUGGGUAGACUAAAAUAAAAUAGUUGAUUGGACCUUUAAUGUGUUUGUGUUAGCUAAGUAGUCAUGAAUCAAAAUAAUAUCAACCAAAGUGUGGUGUGACACUAGUUUUUUUUUCUUUAAACAUCAGUGGCACUUAUCUUUAUGGAUUGAUUCUACCACAAUACAUCACAUUUUACCAUUUUGUGUCAGUUCAAUUGAUUUAACUUGGUAAGUAAUAUCUACCAGCCAAUUUCUAGGUUUUAUUUUACACUAAUCCUAUCAAAGUUCCUCACUUGCUUAACUUGGAAAGUGUAGUUAAGCUUUCCUCUCAAAUUAUUGCUAUCAAAGUGAAAUACAAAAUAGAAAAGGGAAAUUCGCGAUGUAUGUAGAUGGUCUAUUUAAGUAUAUAAGUUGAGGAAAGGUUCAUCUAUAUCAUUCGUUAAUAUUUUAGCUUAUUUAUAUUAUUUUUAUUUGAGAAAAGACUAAUCCAUGUAAUUGGUUUUUAACAAAAAACAAUUUUUAUUUUGCAAAAUUAUUUUCUAUAUGUGGUCAUAACUGAUCCAGCGACGUCAUUAAUUAAAUCUUUUUAAAAAGGGGAAAAAGAUUCAAAUAUGUCAUCAAACUUUGAAAGAAGGCUCAUAUAGUCAUCCGAUAAGAAUUUUGUUCAAUUAUGUCAUUUCAGUUAACAAAUAAAGGCAUAAAUGAGCUUAAUUUCCAAACGAAAUGACAUAGAUGACCAAAGUUUUUCACACAUGGCAUAUAUGAGCGUUAUUUGCGUCUUUUUCUUUUGAUAAAUCUUGGGCAAUCCUGUCUCUGUCAGUUAGUUUUUGUGGUUGAGCUAGCCUCUAAAUUCAUUUCAUUUCAUAAUAUCAAAACAAGAUUCCUCUAAAUGUUGCUUACCAUUGGUGAACCUUCAGAUUAAAUUAUCCACACACCAGAUGUUCAAUUCCGAGCAUGAGAAGACUACCCCACCCCACCAACUGCCAUGUUCGGUAGAAAAGAAGCUCUUCUCCGGGUUAUGCUCGUUUAAAUUUGGAAGCUUAUUAACGAUCAUCAAUCAGAUCUUAAAAUUAGUACAACUUGUAGAUAUUCCAAAAAGAACAAAAUGCAAAUGGGAAUUACAAAUUGUGCUUUCAAGUUUGACCACUUUUUCCUAAAUUCUGCACCUACGAAGUGGCUAUAGUUUAAGUGCAAAUAUUACCUUAACAAUGUCAGAAUCACACUCACAAAUGAAAAAAAAAAAAAAAGUAGCAAACUUUAAGAAGUGUUAAAUUAGGUCAUGCAUAGAAAUAACAAUAGGGCUUCUAGAUCAAUUAACUUUGUUGACAUAAUUGACCACUUUCUUUCCACAACUAAUCAUUUUAAGACACCACAAGUAUUCAUGUAUUCGGACGUAAACAUGUUUUUUAAAGUCUUAGGAAAUCAUUAGGGGAAACUAUCAUAAAAUAAAUAAAAAGUAGAUUGAUAAAAACAUACAAAGAAACAAAAACAAAAAACACACAUAGACACACAUAAUAUUAAUGCUUACCUUAUGAGUUGGCCUUUUGUCUUCUCAUUCUUUAUCAUGUGAUGUUUGUUAACAUCUUGGUUAGAGCCUUUUGCUUGUCAAACCUACUCAUGUGACUAGAAUAUGAGUGAAUAACCUUACACAAAUCUUGACAAAGCUAAAAUUUUGAGUUUAUUAUUUAAAAUUCUAAGGUUAUUUACUGAAUUUUGAAUAUAUUAUUUAUUUAUAUUAAGUAUAAAAUAUAGAGUUUGGAUCAAAGUUACUGAAAUUGUUGGACUGAUAGAUAAAUUUGUAGCUUCGUCACUCCAUACAGGGCAAAGAUAAAAGGCCAGGAGCGUAAAGGGUUCACUCAAAUUUCCUUCAAUGAAAAAUUUUAUAAUAUUUAUAAGGUCAAAAGUAUUUCUUUGACCUACUUUGUAUAUUUACUUUUUUUAUAUUUUGAAUAUCGCUAUAAAAAUUUCUGAUUUUGUCACUGAGCAGCGUAACCUCUUACUUUUCAGAUGGGGGUGGAGAGGUCUUCAAAUAAG
rnacentral:lncRNA from 1 species